UACGUAGGUGGCAAGCGUUGUCCGGAAUCAUUGGGCGUAAAGAGCGUGUAGGCGGCCAGAUAAGUCCGCUGUGAAAUCUCGAGGCUCAACUUCGAGCUGUCGGUGGAAACUGUCUGGCUAGAGUCCGGAAGAGGAGAAUGGAAUUCCUGGUGUAGCGGUGAAAUGCGCAGAUAUCAGGAAGAACACCCGUGGCGAAGGCGGUUCUCUGGGGCGGUACUGACGCUGAGACGCGAAAGCGUGGGGAGCGAACAGG
rnacentral:rRNA from 1 species